UAGUUGGUGAGGUAACGGCUCACCAAGGCGAUGACGGGUAGCCGGUCUGAGAGGAUGUCCGGCCACACUGGAACUGAGACACGGUCCAGACACCUACGGGUGGCAGCAGUCGAGAAUCAUUCACAAUGGGGGAAACCCUGAUGGUGCGACGCCGCGUGGGGGAAUGAAGGUCUUCGGAUUGUAAACCCCUGUCAUGUGGGAGCAAAUUAAAAAGAUAGUACCACAAGAGGAAGAGACGGCUAACUCUGUGCCAGCAGCCGCGGUAAUACAGAGGUCUCAAGCGUUGUUCGGAAUCACUGGGCGUAAAGCGUGCGUAGGCUGUUUCGUAAGUCGUGUGUGAAAGGCGCGGGCUCAACCCGCGGACGGCACAUGAUACUGCGAGACUAGAGUAAUGGAGGGGGAACCGGAAUUCUCGGUGUAGCAGAGAAAUGCGUAGAUAUCGAGAGGAACACUCGUGGCGAAGGCGGGUUCCUGGACAUUAACUGACGCUGAGGCACGAAGGCCAGGGGAGCGAAAGGGAUUAGAUACCCCUGUAGUCCUGGCAGUAAACGGUGCACGCUUGGUGUGCGGGGAAUCGACCCCCUGCGUGCCGGAGCUAACGCGUUAAGCGUGCCGCCUGGGGAGUACGGUCGCAAGAUUAAAACUCAAAGAAAUUGACGGGGACCCGCACAAGCGGUGGAGUAUGUGGCUUAAUUCGAUGCAACGCGAAGAACCUUACCUGGGCUUGACAUGUAAUGAACAACAUGUGAAAGCAUGCGACUCUUCGGAGGCGUUACACAGGUGCUGCAUGGCCGUCGUCAGCUCGUGUCGUGAGAUGUUUGGUUAAGUCCAGCAACGAGCGCAACCCCUGUUGCCAGUUACCAGCACGUGAAGGUGGGGACUCUGGCGAGACUGCCCAGAUCAACUGGGAGGAAGGUGGGGACGACGUCAGGUCAGUAUGGCCCUUAUGCCCAGGGCUGCACACGUACUACAAUGCCCAGUACAGAGGGGGCCGAAGCCGCGAGGCGGAGGAAAUCCUAAAAACUGGGCCCAGUUCGGACUGUAGGCUGCAACCCGCCUACACGAAGCCGGAAUCGCUAGUAAUGGCGCAUCAGCUACGGCGCCGUGAAUACGUUCCCGGGUCUUGUACACACCGCCCGUCACAUCAUGGAAGCCGGUCGCACCCGAAGUAUCUGAAGCCAACCGCAAGGAGGCAGGGUCCUAUGGUGAGACUGGUAACUGGGAUGAAGUCGUAACAAGGUA
rnacentral:rRNA from 1 species